CGGCAGCCCGGUACCCCACGUGGAAGGGGCGGAGGAGGAUGAAGGGCCAGGGGAGCAGCGGACCCCGAGCCACCGCGACAGGACCCCGGCCCCUGCUACCGAGGCCCCCGCGCUUCCCCAGGGCCUCCCGGGCGGGGCCGGGCCAGGGAGUGCCCGCCGCGCCCGGCCCCUGGCCCUCCCGCCCGCCGCGCCUGUGUGCACUUUCGCGGAGCCACUAAUCCCCCGAGAGAGCCGAUUUGUAGUGAGGAGUAUCUGGAGGGGGCGAGGCCGGCCCAUGUGGGGUUGUGUCAUUGGUUUGCAAAGAGAGACCCCGCCUUUGCCCCCCCCCAAAAAAAAGGAGCGAGGAGUGAGCGAGCGGCGACCCUCACCUCGCCUCCCGCCUCGCUCCUGCGCAGCCGGCGGGCACCGGGAGCUGCGGCCAGCGCCGCUUCUUUCCUUUCCUUUUCUCUCCGUUUUCCUCCUCCUUCCCCGGAGGAGAAAACAAAUAAAGAAGAGCAAAUAGCCGGGAGGCGCUCGGCAUCCAGGACGUUCCCUCCCCCGAUCCAAGUUGGAAUUAGCAUCCUCUCGGGGGUGGCUCGGGAGCGGCCCGGAGGAGCCGGCGGCGGCCCGAGGAGCGAGGGACCGAACCGGGAGCCAUGCCGCGCUGAGGGGGGGCCGCACAGCCGCCGCCACCGCCACCGCCGCCGGGUGGGGUGGGAGGGGCGGGAGCCGCCGCCGCCGCCGCCUCCAGGGUGGGCGCCUUUCGCCGUGGACGCCGACCGUCCGGGACGAGGGUUUCAUCACCUUAAAUGGUUUUGAACCAAUGAAGCUGUAUUCCCUUAAAAAGACGGACAGCCCAUCGUGUGAACUAUAGAGUUUGUGGACAGACUUAUAUUGGUGAGUUAUUGUGAAAUAUCUCCAGGUAAAAGUUCAGUUUUCUAGAAUC
rnacentral:lncRNA from 1 species